GAUGAACGCUGGCGGCGUGCCUAAUACAUGCAAGUCGAGCGAACGGACGAGAAGCUUGCUUCUCUGAUGUUAGCGGCGGACGGGUGAGUAACACGUGGAUAACCUACCUAUAAGACUGGGAUAACUUCGGGAAACCGGAGCUAAUACCGGAUGAUAUUUUGAACCGCAUGGUUCAAAAGUGAAAGACGGUCUUGCUGUCACUUAUUGAUGGAUCCGCGCUGCAUUAGCUAGUUGGUAAGGUAACGGCUUACCAAGGCAACGAUCCAUAUCCGACCUGAGGGGGUGAUCGGCCACACGGGAACUGAGACACGGUCCAGACGCCUACGGGAGGCAGCAGUAGGGAAUCUGCCGCAAUGGGCGAAAGCCUGACGGAGCAACGCCGCGUGAGUGAUGAAGGUCUUCGGAUCGUAAAACUCUGUUAUUAGGGAAGAACAUAUGUGUAGUAACUGUGCACAUCUUGACGGUACCUAAUCAGAAAGCCACGGCUAACUACGUG
rnacentral:rRNA from 1 species